rnacentral:rRNA from 1 species
GACGAACGCUGGCGGCGUGCCUAAUACAUGCAAGUAGAACGCACAGUUUAUACCGUAGCUUGCUACACCAUAAACUGUGAGUUGCGAACGGGUGAGUAACGCGUAGGUAACCUGCCUGGUAGCGGGGGAUAACUAUUGGAAACGAUAGCUAAUACCGCAUAAUAUUAAUUAUUGCAUGAUAAUUGAUUGAACGAUGCAAUUGCAUCACUACCAGAUGGACCUGCGUUGUAUUAGCUAGUAGGUGAGGUAACGGCUCACCUAGGCGACGAUACAUAGCCGACCUGAGAGGGUGAUCGGCCACACUGGGACUGAGACACGGCCCAGACUCCUACGGGAGGCAGCAGUAGGGAAUCGUCGGCAAUGGACGAAAGUCUGACCGAGCAACGCCGCGGGAGUGAAGAAGGUUUUCGGAUCGUAAAGCUCUGUUGUAAGAGAAGAACGGGUGUGAGAGUGGAAAGUUCACACUGUGACGGUAUCUUACCAGAAAGGGACGGCUAACUACGUG